CAGUGCCCACUUUGUUCAUCUCUGCUCACUGGGGGAGCCAGGACACGGAUCCAGGUUUUCUGACUCCAGGUCUCAGGCUUGCUCCAUAGCGCCACCUGCUGGUGACGGCAAUCGGUAGGCACCCAAAUCAAGACUCAGAUUUCCUCAUCUCAGAAGUUGUCCACUUCUUCUCCGACCUCCACGGUAACUCGGAACCACACCGUGGAGUUAUCCCUGUGUCCUCUUUCUCGGAAGUUCCACAUCCAACCCCUCAGCAGGUCUCAGCGGCACUCUCACCACCUCCUCUGCUCUGUUCCUGUUUCUCUUGGAUGGUCGAAUGUUUCCUAAGGAGUGUCUGCUGCUUCACGCUUGCCCCCUGGAGUGGCAUCUAAAAGGUGCAGGAUACCCUACAACUAACAGGCAUGAUGCCAUCAAGACAUCUUGAGCCUGGCUACCUCCCGUGGCCUGUAUUUUGUCCACAGGAAACUCGCGCAGUCUCACUACAGCAAAUUGAGGUGGUAUGGGGUGCCUGCUGCUGCCUCUCUCUUCACCUUUCCACAGAGGGCUGCCCCAGCCUGACUCCCACUUCCAGAGUUUCUCCAGCCAGGAGAAUCCUGAAAUCUCUGUAAAUAAGCAAUCCAGGAGCCAGAGAAUCAUGGGAUCUCAUAUAAACAAAUCAUCAAGGAAAAACACAGCCAGAGUCUCCAUUUGGUAAACCUCCGUGACUGGGGAUCCCCGGCCACCCAGAAAGCAGUAUUGCCUGCCAUGCAUGUCAUCACUGAUUUUUACUGCUGCAGCAGACUCCGUCAGACCUGCCUGCUGCUUCAGCGAAUUGUUCAGUGCACACCACCAGCUACCUGCUGUAAGCAUUCACACUCCUCUACCUGCCUGGCAGCAUUUCUCAGCUGAACACAGGCCAGGCCAGAAGUGCCAGGGAUUUAAUGCCCUUAGAAGUAGCUCUCUACCAAUGACAAAUGGAGCUGGUGGAUACAUUCUCAGCUUCCUCCCCUCUCAGGUGGAACAGCCCUGAGAUGUGCUCUAUGCAAUCUCCCACAAGUCCCCAGCAGGCUCAAGCUCCCAUUGUCCAACCCUGGUAACCUGCUCAUUGACACCCCUGUCUUGCCUUCCCUUCCUGGCCUCACUUUCUCACUCUCUUACUGUUGCCUCCUGAGAUCGCAUCCAAAAUAAAUGA
rnacentral:lncRNA from 1 species